rnacentral:rRNA from 1 species
UACAGAGGGUGCGAGCGUUAAUCGGAAUUACUGGGCGUAAAGCGCACGUAGGCGGCUUGGUAUGUCGGGUGUGAAAUCCCCAGGCUCAACCUGGGAACUGCGUCUGAUACUGGAUGGCUUGAAUUCGGGAGAGGGAUGCAGAAUUCCAGGUGUAGCGGUGAAAUGCGUAGAUAUCUGGAGGAAUACCGGUGGCGAAGGCGGCAUCCUGGACCGACAUUGACGCUGAUGAGCGAAAGCUAGGGGAGCAAACGGG